GUUCAAAUGAGGAAGGGCUUACGGUAGAUACCUAGGCACCCAGAGACGAGGAAGGGCAUGGUAAGCGAUGAAAUGCUUCAGGGAGUUGAAAAUGAGCAUAGAUUUAGAGAUUACCGAAUAGGUUAACCUUUUUAACUGCUUCUUAAUCCAUGGGCAGGCAAGAGAAAACCUGGCGAACUGAAACAUCUUAGUAGCUCUGUGCUGCUAGGCAAAGUGGUUGAGUCCUACACCCUAGAUGGUGAGAGUCCAGUAGCCAAAAGCAUCAUUGGGAUAUGCUCUAACCUGAGUAGCAUGGGGCACAUGGAAUGCCUUGUGAAUCAGCAAGGACCACCUUGCAAGGAUAAACAUUCCUGGGUGACUGAUAACGAAGUAGUACCGUGAGGGAAAUGUGAAAAGAACCCCCAUCGAGGAGUGAAAUAGAACAUGAAACCGUAAGCUCCCAAGCAGUGGGAGGAAAGUGAUAUAUCUAAACAUGUGCCCAUUGAAGAAUGAGCUGACGACUUAUAGGCAAUGGAUUGGUUAAGGGAACCCACCGAAGCCGUAGUGAGAGCGAGUCUUCAUGGGGAAAUUGUCACUGCUUAUGGACCUGAACCUGGGUGAUCUAUCCAUGACCAGGAUGAAGCUUGGGUGAAACUAAGUGGAGGUCUGAACCGAAUGAUGUUGAAAAAUCAGUGGAUGAGUUGUGGUUAGGGGUGAAAUGCCACUCGAACCCAGAGCUAGCUGGUUCUCCCCGAAAUGCGUUGAGGUGCAACAGUUGACUAGACCAUCUAGGGGUAAAGCACUGUUUCGGUACGAGCCGCAAGAGUGGUACCAAAUCAAGGAAAAAUAUGAAUACUAGAUUGCCCCAAUAAAAGGGGUAAAGGUUAGCUAGUGAGACGAUGGGGGAUAAGCUUCAUCGUCGAGAGGGAAACAACCCAGAUCAUCAAAUAAGGCUCCUAAAUGACCGCUCAAUGAUGAAGGAGGUACGAGUGCAAAGACAACGAGGAGGUUUUCUUAGAAGCAUCCAACCUUGAAAGAGUGCGUAAUAGCUCACUGAUCGAGUGCUCUUGCACUGAAGAUGAACGAGACUAAGUGAUCUGCUGACGCUGUGGGAUGUAAAAAUACAUUGGUAGGGGAGCAUUCCACCUCAGAGGGAAGCACUGGUGUGAGCAGGUGUGGACGAAGCGGAAGAGAGAAUGUCGGCUUGAGUAACACAAACAUUGGUGAGAAUCCAAUGCCCCAAAAACCUAAGGGUUCCUCCGCAAGGUUUGUCCACGAAGGUUGAGUCAGGGCCUAAGAUCAGGCCAAAAGGUGUAGUCAAUGGACAAUAGGUUAAUAUUCUUUUACUACCCCUUGUUUGUCCCGAGGGACGAAGGAGGCUAGGUUAGCCGAAAGAUGGUUAUCGGUUCAAGGAUGCAAGGUGACCCUCUAUACAUUGAUUCAAAGGUAAAAUAAGAAUCAAAUAUAGUUGUGGACAAGGUGAGGUUGGGGGUGGAUAUUCCUCAUCAUCUACUCUAGCACACAAAAAUCCAAGAUGGCUUAUCCAAACAUUAUAGGAUGUACACAAUUAUGUAGGAGUGCCCAUAUCAUCAAUGAGGGUGAGUAUACCUCCUAGGAGAUAUGUUAACCAUAUUGUAUUAGAUUCUUCCAUUUGUGAUCUUUACAAUUGUUUUGAAGAGUUGAUGUGUGAUACUUUGUUGGAUGAGUGUGAUGUUUGGGGGGUAGUUCCUUUCUAGGAGCCAGUGGUUGAUUUCGAGAUUGCAAAGUGUUCAAAUUUGAAGAAGGAAAGUUUGUUUGAGUUGCAAAGGGAGAAAAAUGAUGUUGGUGAAAACACUUUCCUCAUAAAGAGGGUGUGUUUUCUUUCGAGGUUACUCUGAAAUUGUUUGAUUGAGUUGCAAAGGAAGCAUAAAGAUGUUAUUGAAAACACUUUCCUCAUAAAGAGGGAGUGUUUUCUUUCGAGGUUACUCCAAAAUUAAGUUACACCAUACUUAAGGGUGCUUCAUGUAAUGUGGGGUGCAUGGUGUAUUGAUAACCCUUAGUUGACGUGAUGGACAUACACAUUGGAGUUAGCUUUCCCAUUGAUUGUAAUACCUUGUCUUGAUGCAUAUGUGGUACUCUUCCUUGGAGCAUUGGAGACCUACAUGGCUAGUGUCUUUCUUCAUGAGACAAAAAUGGAGGUCGAUUGCUUCCUUGGGAUGAUGGUUUUCCUUGGAGGAGGAUAAUUGGGCAUCUUGGAGGAGGAUAAUUGGGCAUCUUGGAGGAGGGAAUUGAACCCUAGAUGGCACGAGGACACUUGGUUUAUUACAUGGAGACUUGGUCUUGACUUGAGGACACUUGGGUUGAAAACCAAUCAUGUAAGUGGAAUUGACCUAGAGGUAUACAUGGCCUAAGAGGGAGUGUUGGAGAAUUAGAGACCUUUGGAGGAGGAGUGUUACACACACCUUGUGGAGCAUUCAACGUUCAAUCCUUGUUUGUUGGAUGUGCUUCCCUUGGAGAUUGGAAUGUGUGAGUUGGAGUUGGAGUGCUCCACAUGUGGGGACAUUUAGUAAUUAGAUAGAUUGUUUGUUGUAGAUUUGAUCCACUUUAUGAUUUUUUCCUUCCUUGACUUUCAUAAAAAAAAAUUGAGGAGAAGGUAUUUUCAUCACUUGUACUUCUUCACUCAUAGACUCACAUGCUUGCAU
rnacentral:ncRNA from 1 species